GGAUGAACGCUGGCGGCAUGCCUAAUACAUGCAAGUCGAGCGAACGGACGAGAAGCUUGCUUCUCUGAUGUUAGCGGCGGACGGGUGAGUAACACGUGGAUAACCUACCUAUAAGACUGGGAUAACUUCGGGAAACCGGAGCUAAUACCGGAUAAUAUUUUGAACCGCAUGGUUCAAAAGUGAAAGACGGUCUUGCUGUCACUUAUAGAUGGAUCCGCGCUGCAUUAGCUAGUUGGUAAGGUAACGGCUUACCAAGGCAACGAUGCAUAGCCGACCUGAGAGGGUGAUCGGCCACACUGGAACUGAGACACGGUCCAGACUCCUACGGGAGGCAGCAGUAGGGAAUCUUCCGCAAUGGGCGAAAGCCUGACGGAGCAACGCCGCGUGAGUGAUGAAGGUCUUCGGAUCGUAAAACUCUGUUAUUAGGGAAGAACAUAUGUGUAAGUAACUGUGCACAUCUUGACGGUACCUAAUCAGAAAGCCACGGCUAACUACGUG
rnacentral:rRNA from 1 species